UGAUUUCGAAGUUCUCUCUCGAUUUUGAUUUCAGGAUUUAUGUCUCGGUGAUUCUCUCUCUCAAUUUCAAAGUCUAUUUUGAAUAUGAGAAUAAUUGUUAAAGCCCUUUGUAAACCCUUAUUUGGAAUCCUCAUGCCUUCAAAUCUCGUCUCUCUCAACCUUCUCUAAACCGUUAUCAUUCUCACAGAUUCAUCUUUGAGAUUCAGAGCGAAUUCGAUUUCGAAGCUCCAUCGCCACCACCGUCUGCACCGGCUCGAUUUCUCAGAUUUUGAUUUCGAAGCUCCACUCCCACCACCAUCUGCACCAGCGAGAAUGGAGUUGAUCCUAUGGAUAGAAACAUGGAAAAGCCAAAAACUUUGGAUGAUGUAACUGAUAAAACCAAACCCUGGCAGUUGGCCGAAAUUAUAGAUCCUGCUCAAUGCCGGCAGGUUACCAUGCCAGACAACAUGGAUGCAGUCAACAAGGUUGCUUGACUACUCUAUACAAAUUCCGGUUUUGGUGUUUUGGCACUUGGGUCUAAUGGGAUUCAGAAGUUAUGGAAGUGGACACGCAGUGAACAAAA